rnacentral:rRNA from 1 species
CGGAGGGAUCAUUACCGAGUUUACAACUCCCAAACCCCUGUGAACAUACCACUUGUUGCCUCGGCGGAUCAGCCCGCUCCCGGUAAAACGGGACGGCCCGCCAGAGGACCCCUAAACUCUGUUUCUAUAUGUAACUUCUGAGUAAAACCAUAAAUAAAUCAAAACUUUCAACAACGGAUCUCUUGGUUCUGGCAUCGAUGAAGGACGCAGCAAAAUGCGAUAAGUAAUGUGAAUUGCAGAAUUCAGUGAAUCAUCGAAUCUUUGAACGCACAUUGCGCCCGCCAGUAUUCUGGCGGGCAUGCCUGUUCGAGCGUCAUUUCAACCCUCAAGCACAGCUUGGUGUUGGGACUCGCGUUAAUUCGCGUUCCUCAAAUUGAUUGGCGGUCACGUCGAGCUUCCAUAGCGUAGUAGUAAAACCCUCGUUACUGGUAAUCGUCGCGGCCACGCCGUUAAACCCCAACUUCUGAAUGUUGACCUCGGAUCAGGUAGGAAUACCCGCUGAACUUAAGCAUAUCAAUAAGCGGAGGAA